GGUUCUAUUUAUUUUCAUUGGCUUGUAGUCCUAGCCAUGUUGUCUUUCAUAAGGAGGUGAGUUUUGGAUCCACUACAGGAGGACUUCCGACGUCCAACACCAUCCACCAGGUAUCAGGAUUCCAACUGUGUGUGAAAUUAUGCCAAGUGACAGGUUAUAAAGAUACUAAAGUACGAAGAAGAGGGGCUGCAAUGAGACUAAUUCUACAGUGAUGGAGUCAGCUCAUGUGGAGGGGAGAGUUUGGAUUCACACACACCCUCCCGUGGGCGUUUUCCCUUUCUCUCCAGAUUUUAAAAUUUGGUUAUAUUGACUGAUUCCUUGUAGGCUCUUGAGAGUAUGUUGUUGUUAGUGGUUCUUUCUAGUUCCAGAUGAAUAUUAGAUUGUUAGAAAUAAUGCAAUCUUAAGAAGCCAUUAGCCAGCCUAGGCCUUUAGGAGACUUAAACUUUUUUUCUUUUUCAUGAAGAAUGGCGACAUCACCAGUGUCUUUCCUUUGAAAGUUAGCUUAGCUUAUAAUUAAAUUAUUAUUUUAAAUAUUCUUUGAAAAAGAAAAGCUAAUCCGUCUCCUUUCUAGUGCAAUUUCCACGUGCAUACACUUUAAAUACGAUGCUAAUGUACAGCUGCCUUCCUCCUCGUCUUUGAAACAGAAGCUUUGAUUCGCUGCGUCAAAUAUAAUGGCAACCUUAGUAUUUCCACAUACCCAAUGCUAGUGUGUGCUUAUAUCAUAGGAUGAAGAAGUGCCAUCUGUUUAUGGAUAAGCCUCCUAAUGAUUGUUAAAAUAUUUGCCUCAUUAUCCUGUAAAACUGUUUAACCAAGAGGCUUGUCUGAUGCUUGAAUAUAUCUUGCUAUGAUUUGCAAUGAAAAUGUUAGUGCAUUCGACAUGUUUUUCUGUAAUAGAGAGCAUUAGUGAACACCAGAAUUUAAUUUCCAUACUUGUACAGGUAGGACUAUUCUUCAGCUCUCUACUCCAGGCAAGCCAUUCCUUAAGGCAUCUUGUAUAAUUC
rnacentral:lncRNA from 1 species